GUGCUCUCUUCAGCAGCACAUAACUAAUGUUGGAACUAUACAGAGAAGAUUAGCAUGGUGCCUGCACAAGGAUGACAUGCAAAUUCAUGAAUCGUUCCAUAUUUUU